AUAGUUGUUGCUCUGCCAAUUCUGACCCCAGUUCCUGGACAUUGGCAUCCAUCCAGUUCUUGACCCUUUUAUGGCCACACUAUGCACAUCCCCAGCACCUCCUACGUUUGUUAUCAGGACCAGGUUGAAGUAGGAGUGACCAUUGAUUGUGAACCUUAUGCCACCCCUUCUUCUGCAGGGCACCCUACACAAAAUCCACAUAUACAAAAAAGUUAUACAUGCCUCUUUGGAAUAAAUUCAACUUUGCUGCUUGUAAGCAACAAAUGUACCCAAUACCAUGAUUUGUAUCAUUCCUAUAUAGUACAUACAAACAUUAACUAAGUAGGUGAAAAACAGUAGUUUCACUGUAAAGUUACCAACUUUGAGAAGAUAGUGGUUUGGUCAUUUACCACUAUAUGGAAAGAGAAAGAAGGAAACUUCCAAGAACAAGAGUUAAAAACAGUUCAAGAAAAAAACUCCUUUUGAAAAGUUGAAGGUGACAGGAGAGCAAGGUAGUUUCGUUUUGCUGAAAAACCAAAGAACAAAGAUGAAGACAAUUGCUUACCUUCUGUAGGACACAGGCACGAUUCCUGCUUUGUAUUGUGCAAUGCGCAGAAAAACAGGUUGAGAGAGGUCAAAAUGGUGCAGGGGAGGGUUGCACCACCCUCCUGCAUUGUUGGGUAAGGCAUUAUUUGGAGGGCAGAAAUUGGUUGCAGUGACCAAAAUGGAACCGGGAAGGCACCAC
rnacentral:lncRNA from 1 species